rnacentral:rRNA from 1 species
CCUACGGGUGGCAGCAGUGGGGGAUAUUGGGCAAUGGGCGCAAGCCUGACCCAGCAACGCCGCGUGAGGGAAGAAGGCUUUCGGGUUGUAAACUUCUUUUCUGAGGGACGAAGAAAAUGACGGUACCUAAGGAAUAAGCCACGGCUAACUACGUGCCAGCAGCCGCGGUAAUACGUAGGUGGCAAGCGUUAUCCGGAUUUAUUGGGUGUAAAGGGCGUGUAGGCGGGUAAGUAAGUCAGGUGUGAAAACUCAGGGCCCAACCCUGGGCCUGCAUUUGAAACUGUUUUUCUUGAGUGCAGGAGAGGCAAGCGGAAUUCCGUGUGUAGCGGUGAAAUGCGUAGAUAUACGGAGGAACACCAGUGGCGAAGGCGGAUUGCUGGACAGUAACUGACGCUGAGGCGCGAGAGCGUGGGGAGCAAACAGGAUUAGAUACCCGAGUAGUC